CAAAUGUUGAAAAACACCACAAUUUAAAUACAAUUGUGAAUCCCACAAUGAUAAAUGACUUGCCAGCUGUUUUCAUAACAGAAAAGAAAAUUACACAGGAACCUCAAAAAAGGAUCAUGAGCAAUCACCCGUGUCUGAGGAGUGUUCUAGAGACAUCUAUUUCAAACUGACCCUUCUAUUUGGUGGAAUAAUUUCUUUUACAUGUAUCAUUUCUCUUAUUUUGGGGAUUAUCAGGGAACACAGAAGACAGAAGCAUAAAAAAGUCGCUGAAUGUCAAGCACAACAGCAUGAU